ensembl:lncRNA
AGUGGAGGCAAGAGUAUCUUGCUGGAGAUCCCUGCCUACUGAUGUCCUUCACAAGGAUAAGAAAACAUGUUGGCAGGGGUCUGGGGGAGCUGAAGGGAAAAGAUUUUGCUUGUACCUCCAGCCAAUUUUGUGAACAAGUUCUGCCAGCUCAUAAAGAGGUGUUUUAGCAACAUGUUCCAGAUGUGAAAGAUGAGAACUGCAAGUUGGAAUGCUAAGAAUGUUCAAAAUUGAACCCAGGGUGACUAGUUGGACAGGAUGAAGAUGAUGACUGAGCAUCUGGAUGGGCUGCAAGUCUCCUGAAAGGAGCAUCAGGGCAACUCAGCCAGAAAUUUUGUUGGCUAUGAGGUCAGUGUUUAGAUCUAACUUGUGGUGCUGCCUGCUGCUCCCAGUGUGCUCAAGAUGCUCAGCAGCAAGCCAAGAUGGGGUACUUCUGUUUCCCCUUUUAUCAUUUAUAUCUUGUCUUAUUUCAUCUGUAGAUGACAGAGCAAGAGGAGAACUAGAA